CAGCAGCCACGGGAAUACGGAGGGGGCUAGCGUUAUUCGGAAUUACUGGGCGUAAAGCGCACGUAGGCGGAUCAGAAAGUCAGAGGUGAAAUCCCAGGGCUCAACCUUAGAACUGCCUUUGAAACUCCUGAUCUUGAGGUCGAGAGAGGUGAGUGGAAUUCCGAGUGUAGAGGUGAAAUUCGUAGAUAUUCGGAGGAACACCAGUGGCGAAGGCGGCUCACUGGCUCGAUACUGACGCUGAGGUGCGAAAGCGUGGGGAGCAAACAGGAUUAGAUACCCCGGUAGUCCCUGUCUCUUAUAA
rnacentral:rRNA from 1 species